CAGAUCUGCUCUCAGGAAUGCUGGGCUCGGACAAAUACAGACUAAGCUGGCAGACUAAGCUGGAAUCUCUGCAGAACCCUUACAUAAACAGACACCUGGUCUACUGUAUCUGGGACCUUUUCCUCAAGUUCCUCGUCCCUGAAAGUCUCUCCAAAAACGCAGAGAAACUACCACCAUGAAAGUCAUGGGAGCGAUACUGGGGUAUACACACGUUUAAUCAACUGUCAGUGAAUAGUCCUCGAUGAAAGUCCAGCCUAAUGUAUCUGGAUAAAUUCCAUUAUUCAUGUGUCCCCACCUUUAACUCUGACAUUUUGGACCCGAGGUCAUCUGGGUCUGUCUCUGAUUUAGUCCAUAACAUUUGUGGGUCUCAAACAUCGGCCACACGUCCGGAGCAGCUUUGAUUACCCAACACCUGUUUUCUGUUUGAUCAGAAUACGUGUCUGAUCUCCAAAAGCCCAAACACACGUACGUGUGGGAAAAGCCGCCUUCCCAAACUUCCCAAAUCCAUCCUUUUUCCUGCUUCCUAAAGCCUCCAGCUUUGGACCAAACUCAUUUCAGAUUGACUCCACACCAACAUGAUCCCUUGUGGUCUUUCCGUAUUCUAUUGUGGAAGUCUAAUUAGAUUGUUUCCCCACGUUAGGCUUACUGUGUCGUGCUUUGUCCUUUCGGGAUGACUUGCCUAUGUGUUCCCCGUUAUAUGCCGCUAUUCCUUUUGAUCCCCUUGGCUCUACACCAAGCUGCACAUGUGCUGUGUUGCAUUAAUACUGUACUCCCUUACUCCUGAGGCCUGGCUCGUACUGAUAUGGUCCACUGACAUGUUUCUGUUAAAGUGGUCACUCACACGUUUUGAACUUAUGAUGAAGGCCACUGCACUUUAAAGCGCUUGAUAGCCACUUUUCCCAUGGGCCUAACAUGGUUGUUUUAAAUAAUAUAUUCUACAAGUACAUGCAAUUUUCAGUGGUCUCUCUGCUACUUUUUAAAAUUUUGAUACAUUUUACAAGUACCACCAACACAGUGAAUGGGAAAAUGAAUUCAAAGGGAACUCCCUCUGCUGGUGAUUUGCUGAAUGUGCAAUCAUACUGGAGGGCUGUGAUUGGUUAAUGGCCUAUAAUGUAAAUUUCGAUGUAUAGCGUUUAUAAUUUCUUUCAAAGUAGCAGAGAGCCCACUCUGGAAAUGUGAUGUUUUUGAAGAGUAUAUUGUUUCAAACAAUAUGUUUAAAAAUAAGCUAAAUCAAAAAGGGCACUUUUGAGAUAUUAAUAAUAUUAUUGUUAAUGUUAAAUCAAUUAAUGUGAAAAACUGUAUUUCAGAUUAUAGCCAUAAUGAACAUUUCAGAGGCGUACAAAGGAGUAUGAUGACACCAUGAUGUCUGUACCAUGUACCGUUUACGGAUCAUAGGGUCUUACAGGAGGCAUGUAUAGGUAGGUCUAAAAAGGGCCUAAAAGGGACACUUUCAUCAUGAUUUUCUCAAAAAAGCAUGUUACACAUCCUUCCUCUCAAUUCAGAUUUUAUGUGAGAAUUGCCAGAACAAUCUGAGAUGCACAAAAUAUUUUUGGGCCAUGCUGAUGUGUAAUCGCCUAACUAUACCUAACCUAUGUCUUUGAAACUGGCAUAAAGACUUCUCAACAUUGAAUGAAACAAGAUGUUCACCGUGUUUAACAAUCCCCACUCUUACUGAUGCUUAUUAAUGCCUUUAACUGUGUACGGUAGGUCUGAUGCCAGGUAAAGCUCAUGCAGGCAGCAUAGUAGCAUAAAUCUCAUGUCAGAGGUCCAAUAUGUCCAACACAAUCUGUUGCACUCAUCUUUGUCUUAAAAUAAGAUAUGUAAUUCUUUAUUCCUGUAUUCUUGUUAACGUGAUUGACUUAUUUGAUUGUGUCUAACUUAUUUAUUCGAUUGUAAUAAUGCUUUCUGUGAAAAUGUAUAUUGAUCAAAAAUAAUGAGAGGGAUACCAGUAGUACUGAAGAGAAGGAAAUUAAUACCUGUAGGAAAUGCUUUUAAAUUGCCUUAAACAUGGCUGGAAGAGGUCUCGUCUGUCUUUACUAUGUAGUCUGUGGACAUGCCUUUUGUAUAUCGUGUCACAAAGUAGUAGCAAACCCCAGUGACAAGGUGGGUUCUGAUGUUGUGCUGAAUGUUGUGUACUGUGAUGUUUAUUCCCUCCUGAACACAUUCUUAGCUGUUACCUCUGUUCCUGUUGAAUCCUUUGUGAUGAACAUUAGGGUUAGCUUGCAUUCUGCAAGACCAUUGUCCUGUCCUCAAAUGUAUCACGUCACAUGAAAUGUUCAUGUUCAACACGUAACUCAUUUAACAAGAUUGUGAGUGCUGUUCUCGCAUGGAACACACAGCAAAUCUGAAAGUUUGUUACAUGGCUUUUGUUACAAUUUUUGUUGUUGUUGUGUCAAAUGAUAUUAUGUCCUCUGUAUGGUGCCAUUAUAGACACAAUAUGUUUACCCUCAUGAUAAAAAUAAGUGAUCAGUGAUUAACUAACUUACAGAAGAGGUAUUGUUUGUCAUUUGUUUGGUUUCUCGUCAGAAGGGUUCUGCUUGCAAUGGCUACUAGCUGCUAUUUCAUUGAAGUCUUGCCAUUUCUCACUAACUUCCGUUCUGUCAACACCAAAGCGCUUCCUCAAUUGUAUUUUCUCGAUUCCUCUUGUCCUCUCUCCUUGCCUCCUCAAAACACAUUGGAGGAGAAGGUCAGAGGGGAGGGAGCUAGGAAUCGAGAAAAUACAAUUUACCACUUAAUUACGUGUCUGAUUUGACAUUACAAUCCCAAUUCAGUUUACACCAGUCAGACUUUGGGUGCCAUUUUACAUAUUAAUGCUUUGAAUGUGACUCUUUGUAACUCUGUCAGUGUGGACAUAACUGGACUCACAAGAUUUUACAUUUGCUGGUGUUGAUAAUUUCCAAAACCAAUAAAAUGACCAAAAGUC